UUAGCAUUAGAGUUUUACUUGUAAAAAAAUAUAUGAACCAACUGUAAACAAAAAUUUUAGGCAUUGGAGUUUUUUUGAAAAAAAUUGUGUAGAAGAAAUAAUUUAGAAUUAAUUUAUUUCAUGUAGUUCAAUGUCAAAAAAUCAAAAUUUUUUAAUUUCCAGAUCACUUGGUGACUUUAUUCGUUUUAGGGAAGCAAUUCGCUGAUAUUUCUGAAUACACAAUGGGUUUUAAAAAAAUUUGAAAAAACACUUCCUGAGAAAUCAAAAAAUUAUGCCCAAUUUAAUCGAAUUCUAAGUUACCUCACAUUAAAUCUAAAAUCGUUUUGGUCAAAACACAUCUCAUAUGAUCUAGUUUUUUAUUACUUCAAAAUUUCAAUGCUUAAAAAUUUGAAAAUAUUUCUUCGUAAGAAUUCCUUCUUUUCGGAAAUAUGGCUGUGGUCAAAAUUUCAGAACAGUUAUUUGUUGUAGUCACUCACUUUCGUUUUUCAAAAAAAAAAAAACCAAAAAUCUUGUUUUUUUCCCCCGGAAUUAACCUAAAAAUCCCGUUCCCACCUCCUCAAUCCCGCAAUUUAUGAUCUCCUCGCCACUAAUUAAGCCGAGAGGUGCGCAAUUAAUUACCCUUGACAAGGAAGCAAAGAUUCCUCUCGCGGAUGUCCAUACCCGGAUGAUUAAUUCCUCAUUUACAUCAUUACACAAAACUCCGUAAUUAAUAGUCCGCUCGACCGGACUUUCAUUUAAAUAGUCCCCGAACAAACGAAACUAUUCACAAUUUGACACCUGACGCCACUCAGUCAAUAACCCCAUAAAAAAGAAACUUCUGGGCUGGUAUUGUUCUCGUUGCAACACCGCGAACAAAAAGAGCGAUCGUUGUUUCCGAAGCUAAUUGCAAGCAGCUCGUUCUCGAGUUAAAUUACCCCAAAAAUUUGUCCAAAUCGGGGGCCGCCGGCGAAAUGUGCUUGGCUUUAUCGGGGUCUUAAAAUAGCGCCGGUGUCGAAUUGCGGAAUGGCUUCGGGUUACGAGACACACCUGUAAGUGAUUGCUUUCAAAGACAACAAAUUCUCAUUAUAGGCGGUUAAUUCGAUGGUGUUUUUAUAAAGAUCGUGUACGGCGGCUGAUUGCGCAUUUUUCUGGGACGAGAAUGAGGUUUGUUUAGCUAACGAGAGGUAAUUUCAUUUCGUGGCUACCUGAAUGGAGGCGGAUUUCGAAAGCUUAGCGCGAAAUUAGAGGUUUUGGUUGCACAAAUCGGGUGGUUUUGGAGUGGUACAAGGGCGCGGCUUGGACCUACGCGUUUUUUCGGUUACGUGAAUGAUCUGAUUUUACUCUAAAACAGCUUGUGAACUUGUAACCGAUGGAACUAUCGUCACUUCAUGAAAUGAGAAAAAAAUCAGUACGAGGAGGUUAUGAAAAACAAACACUACAAACCGGUACUUGCGAAAUUGCAAUUUCUUGACACACUUAGUUAAUACAACGUCAUCAUUGUUUAUUUUAUUCUUACGAUUUAGUAAUUCCAACAAUAAGAAAAAUCAGUCAAAACCAGUCAAAACCAGAAUUUUGAUCUUCGUAAAUAUUGACCUAAGUAAAUAAAUUACAAUACAAAGCACAAUUUUCUGUAGCAGAUUUUAGGAUAUUUUUAGCAUGAAAUCGUCUUCCAGUGUGAAUAUUUGCAUAAACCGUACGCCAGUUUCGAGAUUAAACGAACCUUCUGCAGAGUCUAAGCAAAUUUUUUUUUGGAGUUGAUUUCAUGUAUAUUUGUUCCCAAGUAAGACCCUAAUUUUAAACUAGAGCUAAUUUUUCGAAUCCAUUUUAAUUAAUAAACCGUCAAAGCACAUUUGAGAUUUUUGAAAAAUUGACCAAAAUUCGUCAAAAAAUUCUGAGAAAUGCGUUUCGAGGAACUGAUUCAAAAAACAUAACGCGUUUGUGGUCCUGGACCAAGAUUUUUGAAAAAUUCGGUUCGAAAACGAAUUUUUUAAAAAACUCAAAAAUCGUCAUUUUUAAUAGAUUGAGGACAAAGCCAACUAGUACAUAAUUUUUUUUUAAACGCUUGUUUUUAAUUUUAGUACAGGUUUUGUUUGUCCAAGCAUAAUGACAAAAAAAUUACCUGUCCCAUUUUUCGGUUUGAUUAACUUGUUAAAUUUUCCCUAAAAACUGUCUCUGUUUUUUUAUCCUGAACACUUUAAAUUCAUUUUUCAUAAAUGCUAAGUUAAAUUCAAAGUUAAAUUGUUCAUUCGAAAGUAUUUUUUCUAUACAGAAAAACUCUAAUGCCUGAAAAUUGUCUUUGGAGUUGAUUUCAUGUAUAUUUUUUUCCCAAGUAAGACCCUAAUUUUAAACUAGAGCUAAUUUUUCGAUUAAACCGUCAAAGCACAUCUAACAUUUUUGAAAAAUUGACUAAAAUUCGUCAAAAAUUCUGAGAAAUGCGUUUCGACGAACUGAUUCAAAAAACAUAACGCGUUUGUGGUCCUGGACCAAGAUUUUUGAAAAAUUCGGUUCGAAAAUGGAUUUUUUAAAAAACUCAAAAAUUCAUUUUUAAUUGAUUGAGGACAAAUUGUUGGAAUUUUUGGAGGAAUUCAGAUAAGUCGAAAUCUGUUUGUGUUUAUUGGACAAAGAAAAAAUAAUUUAAAAAAUCCUUGGGCCCAAAUGUGGUUUAAUUUUCCUGUUCAAUAUUUCAUUCUUCAUUUUAUCUCAUGAUACAUACGCAAGAAAUUUAAAAAUUGUUCAGAAUGAAUCUAACAACAGUCUUUUUCUAAGUGAACAUCAAAUUGACGUACAACAAAGCGAUUUUUUUAUCACUCUAUAUACUUGAAGUAGCCAAUAUUUUGGAAUAUUCGUGAAUAAUUAUUUUUAUGAAAGUCUUUCCUUAUAUUUGGACCUGAUCGAUGAGUAAUUAGAAGGUGAGAUAUCAAUAAAAAUCGUCCUCAAGUUAGCACUGGACGUUCACGCUAUUAUUUCAAGGUCGGCAAUGCACAUCCCGCGCCAACUAGUAAAUAAUUUUUAUUAAUCGCUUGUUUUUAAUUUUAUUCCCGAUUGUAUCCUUUCGAGGUAUCUAAAGAAAAUAAAAAAAUUUAAAUUGUUCAUUCGAAAGUAUUUUUUCUAUACAAAAAACUCUAAUGCCUGAAAAUUUUUUUUGGAGUUGAUUUCAUGUAUAUUUUUUUCCCAAGUAAUACCCUAAUUUUAAACUAGAGCUAAUUUUUCGAAUCCAUUUUAAUUAAACCGGCAAAGCACAUCAGAGAUUUUUGAAAAAUUGACCAAAAUUCGUCAAAAGACCUGAGAAAUGCGUUUCGACGAACUGAUUAAAAAAACAUAACGCGUUUGUGGUCCCGGACCAAGAUUUUUGAAAAAUUCGGUUCGAAAACGGAUUUUUGGAAAAACUCAAAAAUCGUCAUUUUUAAUAGAAUGAGGACAAAUUGUUGGAAUUUUUGGAGGAAUUCAGAUAAGUCGAAACCUGUUUUUGUUUACUGGGCAAAGAAAAAAUAAUUUAAAAAAUCCUUGGUCCUAAAUGUGGUUUAAUUUUCCUCUUCAAUAUUUCAUUCUUCAUUUUAUCUUAUGAAACAUACGCAAGAAAUUUAAAAAUUGUUCAGAAUGAAUCUAACAAUAGUCUUUUUCUAAGUGAACAUCAAAUUGACGUAUAACAAAGCGAUUUUUUGAUCACUGUAUACUUGAAGUAGCCAAUAUUUUUAAUAUUCGUGAAGAAUUAUUUUCAUGAAAAUUUUUACUUAUAUUUGGACCUGAUCGAUGAGUAAUUAGAAGGUGAGAUAUCAAUAAAAAUCGUCCUCAAGUUAGCACUGGACGUUCACGCUGUUAUUUCAAAGUCGGCUAUGCACAACAUCCCGCGCCAACUAGUAAAUAAUUUUUUUUAAACGCUUGUUUUUAAUUUUAGUACAGGUUUUGUUUGUCCAAGCAUAAUGACAAAAAAUUGACUGUCCCAUUUUUCCGUUUGAUUAACUUGUUAAAUUUUCCAUAAAAACUGUCUCUGUUUUUUUAUCCUGAUAACUUUAAAUUCAUUUUUCAUAAAUGCUAAGUUAAAUUCAAAUUUAAAUUGUUCAUUCGAAAAUUUUUUUCUAUACAGAAGACUCUUUGGAGUUGAUUUCGUGUAUAUUUUUUUCCCAAGUAAAACCCUAAUUUUAAACUAGAGCUAAUUUUUCGAAUCCAUUUUAAUUAAACCGUCAAAACACAUCUGGAAUUUUUGAAAAAUUGACUAAAAUUCGUCAAAAAAUUCUGAGAAAUGCAUUUCGACGAACUGAUUGAAAAAACAAAACUCAAAAAUCGUCAUUUUUAAUAGAUUGGGGACACAUUGUUGGAAUUUUUGGAAGAAUUCAGAUAAGUCGAAAUCUAUUUUUAGGUAAUUUUGAAAUUGACAUUAGUCAAAAUUAAACCCAAUCUCUUUUAGAAUUAAAAAAUAACUAAGAAAAUCUAAAAAAGAACUAAUUCAAUGAUAUCAGAAGUGUCUUUUCAUUCAAAUCAACAUUGACACUUUUUUGUUUUAUAGAAAAAACGCGUUAAUGAAGGUUUUAUAAAUAAGACGCUAUUGUCGUCAACUGAUAGAAGAGGUUUAUGUAUAAGAAAGUGAUUACGGGUAUAAAGUUACACUGGAUAAACUCGAACAAAGCCAAGAAACAUAAUGAUCAGUUCUGGAUAAUAAGUAUCCACGGUAAAUUGUUUACCCAUAUUUACUACAGAGAAAGUUUGCUGUACUUCAAGCGAUCCUUGAAGUUAACGAGUACACUUAAACAAAUAUAGUAAAUUCUAUAUUCUACUACAGAACUAUAUUUAACAAUUUUUACAAGAUUAUCAAAAAAUUUAAUAACCCAGAAUUUUGAUUAAAUUGUUAAGAACACUUGUUUAGCUACAAUGUAACGAAUAAAAUUAAAUUAGCAAGAGUGAAACCAGGUCAAAGUUCACCCCGAAGCUCCCAAAAACCACUUUUUAACCGUCAAACUUCCGAUCGAGCUUCGGAAGCUCGUUCCAUCCACUCCGAUCCCGGCACAUUUCCAGCAUCCACAAGAAACUGUUAAAUAGAUUAACUUAAUAGCAUACACACGCUCCCAGCUAUAAACCCCGCUAAAACUGCUAAAUACCUCCCGACCAUGCAAAAAGAAACCAUUUCCACCAACGAUUCCGAUUAAUUCAAACGUAACCUAGAUUUUAAUUAAUAUCUGUGCACUUUCUGUGCAAAUCCAUGCAGCUGGCAUUCUCGUGGAGCUCGUGUACAGAGAGCGGGUCAACACUCCGUGAACUCUAUUUUCACUAAUUCUGUGUACGCGGCCUAGAUUAUCGGCAUACAUGACGCUCUAUUAAUCCAAAUUCGUUGUGGGUCCUGAUUUUUCGCGAUGGAUAUCGUGCCGAGUCAAGUACGAAAGUUAUGGCGGUGUGCUAGUUAUAAAAUGAUUUAACAGGCUGAAAGCAUUUCAAGGAAUUGUGCUCAAAUGGAAAUGUAAAUGUUUGAACAUUAAUUGUAUAAACAUUUAUACUGUUAUGGCAAAUGUAAACCGACCGAAAUAAUUAUCAUCGGUUCGGGUUUAGUCAACCGGGAGGUGGAAGUGCAACAUUAAAAUACAAAUAAUUACGGUGGUUGUGGGUUUCGACCUCCAAAUUAUGGAUGAGCUGACGGUUUCUAAAAUUUAUGACAUGAAUGUAAAGCGGAAAUAGACACAGAUUUGGAAUGGGACUGUAGCGAACGUCCGACUAGCAUAACAUCAAUUUUUUUGAUAUCUUAGAUGGCAGAUUUCAAAUUUUUACAAGACAUUUGGACAAGAAAUUCUAAAAAAAAAAUACCUAAAUAUUUUACAUUACCAACUUGACUUGACACGUAACAGCCAAGUAUUCUGUAAAUUUUGACCAUAGGCGUAUUAAAAAAAGAAAAAUGUUUGCAAGUAAAAUUUUCAAGUUUUUGGACAUCUGGAUGGCAGGUUUCAAAAUAUUAAUUAUUUAUUAAACGAACAGGAAAAAUUUAGAAAAUGGAGUAUAUUAUUUUGACCCAAAGAGAACAAAUCAGAUUCGUUUUGAUAAUUUUAAAGCUAAUUUUCCAAAAUCCCAACGAUUUACAUUUAAGAUGAAUGAAGUUUUAAAAUUUUAAAAAUUGAGUACCUUUUGAUUCAAAGAGAUCAAAUCGGAGCCCUUUUGACAUGAUCCACAGAUUUAAAAUGAACCCGACAAGAAUUGUCUACGAAUUUCAAAAAUUAAGUGAGAAUAACACCUCGAGGUCCGGUAAUUUUGGCCAUAGCGGUAUUAAAAAAAACAAGAAAAAUCUUAUGAAGGAAAAUUUUCAAAUUUUUGGUUACCUUAGAUGGCAGAUUUUAAAUUUUAAAGUAACCGACGAGAGUAAAAAUUUUGAAAAUGAGUUAUAUCUUGAUUAAAAAAAUCCAAUCAGAUCCGUUUUGACAAAGAAUUCUAAAGAAAUGUUAACUUUAAUGCCCUACUAUGAAGAACUUAUAUUGAAAAAAAAAAACAAUAUACAUAUCUUCGAGUUUAAAAAAUAACUAAAAAAAUCUUAAAUUGAACUAUUCGUUGUACAAUUUUUCCUUCAAAUAAAGUCAGAAUUCAAUGUAAUUAGGCCUAUUUUUUUAAUUUCCCUGACUCUUUUUUUUCAAAAUUUUUAAAUCAGAUUUUCCAAAAUCCGAACGAAUUAUUUCCUUAAAACGAAUAAACUCAACUCAGUAGUACGAAACAGUCAAGAGUUCUGUAAAUGUUGUCCUUAGUCGUAGGUAUUAAAAAAAAUCUGACGAAGGAAAAUUUUCAAUUUUCCAAAAAUAUUGGCCCAGAUUGGAAGCUUUGAAAAACUCUCGACUAGAAUGAAUUUUUUUGAGAUCUUAGGUGGCAGUUUUCAAAAUUUGAAAUAACCGACACGAGGAAACACUUUGAAAAUAGGGUAUAUUUUGACUCAAAACGAUGAAAUGAAAAACCCAUUUUCACUCCGUUUUGACAAAAAAAUUCUAAAAAGAAAUAUCUAAAUGUUCUACUAUUACGAAGAUAACAAGUUCAAGAAUAAAAACAUGUUGUCUACGAAUUUAAAAACUAACUGAGGAUAACCUCUCGAUGGGCGUUGAUUUUGAACAUAGUCGUAAAAAAAGGAAGGAAAAUUUUGAAAUUUUUGGUUACCUUACAUGGCAGAUUUAAAUUUUGAAAUAAUCGAUAAAUUUGGACUCAAAGAGAUAAGCCUUUUUUUAAAUUUUUAUUCAAAAAUUAAUUCCUUAAAACGAAUAAACUCAGCAGAACAAUACAGUCAAGAUUUCUGUAAAUUUUGACCAGAGCCGUAUUAAAAAAAUCUUACAAAGAAAAAGUUGCUGGGUAUGCAGAUUUCAAAAUAUUAAGUAAAUGAUAACAGGAAAAUUUUUGAAAAUACAGUAAAUUUUGAUUCAGAGAUCAGACUGGACCCGUUUCAACAAAAAAUGUUGAUUCUCAAAGUUAAAAUGAAUUAAAUUUUUUUUUUUUUGGUGUCCCAAACGGCAUAUUUCGAAAUUUGAAAUAACGGAAUCGAAUAAAAAUUUUGAAAAUGGGUAUAUUUUGACUCAAAAGGAUGACAUUUUUUGACCCCGUUUUGACAACAAAUUCUAAAAAAAUAGUAUAAACGUUAUACUACUUAUUAUGAUUAUGAGAGAACUUCAAGAAUAAAAUAACUGAGAAUAACUUUUCCAUGACCGAAAAAAAGAAAAAACUCCUAUGAAGGAAAAUUUUCACCAUUUGUGGUAGAUUUCAAAUUUUGAAGAAACCCACAAAAGUAAAAAUUAAAAAAAAAGGAGUAUAUUUUGACUAAAAAAAAAAGAUCAAAACAGACACGUUCUGACAAAAAGUUCCAAAAACAAAAAACCCAAAUAUCUUCAAGUUUAAAAAAAUAGCUAAAGAAAUCUUAAAAAUCUGUUCGUCUCUCUGGAUGCCAGGUUUCAAAAUACUCCUAUUAAAAAACGAAUUGGAAAAAUUCCAAAAAUGGAGCAUAUUUUGACUCAAAAAUACCAAAUUAGAUUCGUUUUGACAAAAAAAUAGUGAUCGAUUUUAUUAAAUAAAGCCGGAAUUCAAUGAAAUUAGGUCUAUUUUUUUAGUUUCCCGACCUGUUUUCGUAUCAAAAAUUACUUCCUUAAAACGAAUAAACUCAGUAGAACAAAACAGUCAAGGUUUUGUUCAGAGCUGUAUUAAGAAAAUCUUACAAAGAAAAAGUUGCUGGGUAUCUAGAUGGCAGGUUUCGAAAUAUUAAGUAAAUAACAAGAGGAAAAAUUUUGAAAAUAGAGUAAAUUUUGAUUCAGAGAUCAGACUAGACUCAUUUUGACAAAAAAUGUUGAUUCUCAAAGUUAAAAUGAACUAAAAUCUAUUUUUUUUUUGUAUCCUAAAUGGCGUAUUUCGAAAUUUGAAAUAACCGAAACGACUAAAAAUUUUGAAAAUGGGUAUAUUUUGACUUAAAACGAUGAAAUUUUUUUGACCCCUUUUUGACAAAAACUUCUAAAAAUGUACAUCUAAACGUUGUAAUUCAAGAAUAAAACCAAGUUGCCUGCGAAUUUAAACAUUAACUGAGAAUAAAUUCCCGAUUACAGAAGAAAAGAACAAAACCCCUAUGAAGGAAAAUUUUCAAAUUUUUGGUUACUUUAGAUGGCCGAUUUCAAACCGACAAGAGUAAAUAUUUUAAAAAUCGACUAUAUUUUGAGUAAAAAAAAAUCAAUACAGACACGUUCUUACAAAAAUUACUAAAAAAAACAAAAUAUCUUCAAGCUUAAAAAAUAACUAAGAAAAUUUAAAAAAAUCUAUUCGUUGCACAAUGUUUCCUUCAAAUAAAGGCAGAAUUCAAUGAAAUUAGGCGUAAUUUUUUAAUUUCUCGUUUUCAAGUUUUUGGACAUCUGAAUGACAAGUUUCAAAAUGCUCCUAUUAAAAAACCAACAGGAAAAAUUUCAAAAAUGGCGCAUAUUUUGACUCAAAGGGAUCAAAUCAGACUCGUUUUGACAAAAAGUACUGAUCGAUUUUAUUAAAUAAACCCGGAAUUCAAUGACAUUAGGUCCAUUUUUUUAAUUUCCCGGCCUGUUUUUACUUCAAAAAUUAUUUCCUUAAAACUCAGUAGAACAAAACUGUAAAGGUUUCUGUAAAUUUUGACCAGAGCCGUAUUAAAAAAACGUUACAAAGAAAAGUUGCUGGGUAUCUAGAUGGCAGGUUUCAAAAUAUUAAAUAAAUGACAACAGGGAAAAUUUUGAAAAUAGAGUAAGACAAAAAAUGUUGACUCUCAAGGUUAAAAUGAACUAAAACCUAUUUUUUUGGUAUCCUAGGUGGCGUAUUUCGAAAUUUGAAAUAAACGAAACGAAUGAAAAUUUUGAAAAUGGGUAUAUUUUGACUUAAAACGAUGAAAUUUUUUGACCCCGUUUUGACAAAAAAUUCUAAAAAAAUAAUCUAAACAUUCUACUACUACGAGACAACUUCAAGAAUAAAACCAAUUUGUCUACGAAUUUGAAAAUUAACUGAGAAUAACUUCCCGAUGACACAAAAAAAGAACAAAACCACUAUGAAGGAAAAUUUUCAAAUUUUUGGUUACUUUAGAUGGCCGAUUUCAAAUUUUGCAGAAACCGACAAGAGUAAAACUUUUAAAAAUCCAGUAUAUUUUGAGUCAAAAAACAAUCAAAACAGGCACGUUCAUACAAGGAUUUCUAAAAAAAAGAACAAAAUAUCUCCAAGUUUAAAAAAUAACUAAGAAAAUUUUAAAAAUCUAUUCGUUGCACAAUAAUUCAUCCAAAUAAAGACAAAAUUCAAUGAAAUUAGGCAUACCUUUUUAAUUUCCCAUUUUCAACUUUUUGGGUAUGUGGAUAACAGGUUUCAAAAUACUCCUAUUAAAAAAAAGAACAGGAAAAAUCGCAAAAAUGGAGCAUAUUUUGUCGCAAAGAGAUCCAAUUAGACUCGUUUUGACAAAAAAUACUGAUCGAUUUUAUUAAAUAAAGCUGGAAUUCAAUGACAUUAGGUCUAUUUCUUAAUAUCCCGGGCUGUUUUUUUUUUCAAAAAUUACUUUCUUAAAACGAAUAAACUCAGUCCAGGUUUUUGUAAAAUUUGACCAGAACCGUAUUAAAAAAAUCUUACAAAGGAAAAGUUGCUGGGUAUCUAAAUAGCAGGUUUCAAAAUAUUAAAUAAAGGACAAGAGGAAAAAUUUUGAAAAUAGAGUAAAUUUUGAUUCAAAGAUCGGACUAGAUUCGGUUUGACAAAAAAUGUUGAUUCUCAAAGUCAAAAUGAACUAAAAUCUAUUUUCUUGGUAUUGAUGACAAAUUAAAAUUUUGAAUGGGUAUAUUUUGACUCAAAACGAUGAAAUUUUUUGAUCCCGGUUUGACAAAAAAUUCUAAAAAGAAUUUAACCGACAUGUUCUACUUGGUAUUACGAAGAUAAAUUUAAGAAUAAAAUCUAUCUAGCUACAAAUUUAAAAAAUAAAUGAGCAUAACUUCUCGAUGACUGUUAAUUUUGACGAUAACGAUAUUAACAGGAAAAAGAAAACAAAGAAAAAGAAAAAUCUUAUGAAGCAAAGCAAAAUUUACAAAUUUUUGGUUAGUUUAGAUGGCAGAUUUCAAAUUUUGUAGAAAGUGACGAGAGUAAAAAUUUUAAAAAUAGAGUAUAUUUUGAUUCAAAAAAAUUAAAUCAGACCCAUUUUGACAAAAAAAUCUAAAAAAGUUGACCCAAAUGUUCAACAAUUAUGAUAUAACUAAGAAAAUCUAAAAAGGAGCUAGUUUUUACAACACAUUCUCCAAAAUGAACAAAUUAUUUCCUUAAGAGGAAUCAAUUCAGUAGUAGAAAAAAGCCAAGUAUUUUAUGAAUUUUGACCAUAGCCGUAUUAAAAAAAAAAAAAAAUUCUUUGCUAAAAAUUUUCAAGUUUUUGGGCAUCUGGAUGGCAGACUAAAUCAGACUCGUUUAGACAAAAAAUACUCACCGAUUUUAUUAAAUAAAUCCAAAAUUCAAUGAAAUUAAGCGUAUUUUUCGAAUUUUUCGGCCCGUUUUCCUUUCAAAAAUUACUUCCUUAAAACGUAUGAAGUCAUUAGUACAAAAAGUGAAGGCUUAUGUAAAUUUUGACCAUAGCCGUAUUAAAAAAAUCUUAUAACGGAAAAUUUGCUGACAUAAUUAUCUAGAUGACAGGUUUCAAAAUAUGAAGCAAUUGACAGCAGGAAAAUUUUCAAAAUAGAGAGUAUUUUGACUAAAGGUAGUUUUCAAAAUUUGAAAUAACCGACACGACUAAACAUUGUGAAAAUAGGGCAUAUUUUGACUCAAACCAAUGAAAUCAAACCCGUUUUGACAUAAUUUCGAUCAUAGCCAUAUUCAAAAAGGAGAAAAAUCUUCUGAAGGAAAAUUUUCAAAUUUUUGGUUACCUUAGAUGGCAGAUUUCAAAUUUUGAAGUAACAGACAAGAGUAAAAAUUUUGAAAAUAAGCAUAUUUUGAUCCAAAAAAAUCAAAUCAAACUCGUUUUGACAAAGAAUGUUGCCAGAUUUUAUUAAAUAAAGAUAGAAUUAAAUGAAAUUAUAAGAAUAAGAAUAAGAAUAAGUUUAUUGCACAACUAGAGCAGCGUACAAAAAGUUAGAAUACAGGCUAACCCUGAUACUAAAACGAUUCUAACUCAUACCUACACCUAAAUUAUUGAUAUUUUUUCCUGCCCGAACCGUUCUUUUUUAAAUUUUUUAAAGCAAAUUUUCCAAAUUACGUACAAAUUACUUUCUUAAAACGAAUAGACUCAAUAGCAAAAAGCAGUAAAGAUUUCUGUAAAUUUUGACCAUGGCCAUAUUAAAAAAAAUAACAAAGGAAAAUUUUCAAGGUUUCAAAACAUUGAGUAAUUGACAACAGGAAAAAUUUUGAAAAUAGGGUGUAUUUUGACUCAAGACAAUCAAAGCAAACCCGUUUUGACAUAAUUUUGAUCAUAGCCGUAUUCAAAAAGGAGAAAAAUCUUCUGAAGGAAAAUUUUCAAAUUUUUGGUUACCGUAGAUGGCAGAUUUCACAUUUUGAAGCAACAGAGAAGAGUAAAAAUUUUGAAAAUAAGCAUAUUUUGAUCAAAAAAAUCAAAUCAAAUCUGUUUUGACAAAAAAUUCUAAAAAAAGUUACCUUUUCUUUUAAAUUUUGACCAUAGGCGUAUUAAAAAAAGAAAAACCUUACCAAGGAAAAUUUUCAAGGUAUUGGUGAUCUGGAUGGUAGGUCUCAAAAUAUUACAAAACGAACAGGAAAUAUUUGGAAAAUGGAAUAUAUUUUGACCCAAAAAAUCAAAUCAGACUCGUUUUGACAGAGAAUGUUGCUCGAUUUUAUUAAAUAAAGACAGAAUUAAAUGAAAUUAGUGAUAUUUUUUCCUGUCCGAACCGUUCUUUUUUAAAUUUUUUAAAGCAAAUUUUCCAAAUUAUGUACAAAUUACUUUCUUAAAACGAAUAGACUCAAUAGCAAAAAGCAGUCAAGAUUUCUGUAAAUUUUGACCAUGGCCAUAUUAAAAAAAAUAACAAAGGAAAAUUUUCAAGGUUUCAAAACAUUGAGUAAUUGACAACAGGAAAAAUUUUGAAAAUAGGGUGUAUUUUGACUCAAGACAAUGAAAUCAAACCCGUUUUGACAUAAUUUUGAUCAUAGCCGUAUUCAAAAAGGAGAAAAAUCUUCUGAAGGAAAAUUUUCAAAUUUUUGAUUACCGUAGAUGGCAAAUUUCAAAUUUUGAAGCAACAGACAAGAGUAAAAAUUUUGAAAAUAAGCAUAUUUUGAUCAAAAAAAAUAAAAUCAAACCUGUUUUGACAAUGAAUUCUAAAAAAAGUUACCUUUUUUUUUAAUUUUGACCAUAGGCGUAUUAAAAAAAGAAAAACCUUACCAAGGAAAAUUUUCAAGGUAUUGGUAUUAAAAAAAUGACAAGGGAAAAUUUUCAAGCUUUCAAAACAUUGAGUAAUUGACAACAGGAAAAAUUUUGAAAAUAGGGUGUAUUUUGACUCAAAACGAUGAAAUCAAACCCGUUUUGACAAAAAAUUAAAAAAAAAACUUGAUGUAACAAUGGAACACAACGAAAACAACUUCAAAAGUGAAAGCAAAAUUCGAGAAAGAACUUGAGAAUUUUUUUUCAAUUUUUGGAUAUCCUUGCUAGCAGAUCUCAAAAUAUGAAGUAACUAACAACAUCAGGAUAAAUUUUCAGAAAAGGAGUAGGUAUAUUUUGAUUCAAAGAAAUCAAGUCAAACACAAUACAUUAAAAAAUUUCUAAAAAAAAAAUUAUCUAUUUUCCACAAGCAAUUUUUUGCUUUGGCAAACCUAUUUUCCAAAAUAUCAGAGAAAUGCUUAUUUAAAAUCAAUAACCUGAGUGAUCCAAAACCCAAAAGUUCAAAAGUUCUAUAGACUUUUUAAAAUUUUUGUUGUAAACUGACCAAAAUAAUUAUCAUCGGUUCGUAGUUUAGUCAAGCGGAAGGUGCAACAAAAAAAUACAAAUAAUUGCCUCUAUCGCGAUUUUCGACAUCCAAAAUAUGUAAAAUUGACGAUUUUCCAAAAUUCACGUCAUUCAUGUAAAUCGCAAAUAGCCACAGAUUUAGAACGAAUCUUUGGGGAGCACCCAACAAUUAUUACAACAAGAAUAUUUUAUUUAGUGUCACGAAAUUGGGCUUUAAACGCCGAAAUUUCAGAUUCAAACCGGCUAAAAACACACUAAUAAUACACCCGCAGCUAAUUAAAAGCGUUGUUAAUAAAAAAAGCUUUCACACACCACCACCAGGAGAUUAAAAUUAAAAUCGCAUCUAGACAAACUGUUUCCCAAUAGGAUAAAAUACAAAAACGAAACAAAUCCGAUUGUCACAGCUACGAAUUUACUACUAAAUUUUAUCAUAAGCUGACGAGGGUCUUUACCAGGGAGGUUGUCUAAGCAUUACCGAUUACCGAUAGUUCAAGAAUUUCAGGAUUAUAAAUUAAAUCCUGUAUUGUAAAACGUUAUCACGAAACUACACAACGAAAAAAACGUUUUUAUAAUGCAAAGUGAAUGUUUAACUUAGUCGUUAAUCUCGACAGGUUGAGCAGAUUACGGAUAAAAUACACAAAUUAAGAACCACAGCAGUGUAAAAACCCAAACCAGUUUACAUUGUAGCGAAGAACCAAACGGAAUAAAAAAUCGAUUACUUCUGUUGUCGCUAAUUUAGAUAUCCUUAAUUUGCCGUAAAAAGCCAAAUUUAAAUAUUUUAGUGCCUCGCUGUCAAGGUCGGGCCAAUUUGUCCUGAUUUUGUACCACACAAGUCUUAAAUAAUUUUCAGAUUGACUAUAAUUUGUUUUUCGUUUUAUCAAGGCUAAUGAAAUAAAGUGAAAUCACCUUAUAGUACAAAGUAGCUGUAGAAUAAUAAGAUUCACAUUUGAAGAAAUUUUGUUCAGUGUUUAUUAAUUAAAACCGAAUCGAAAAAUUAUUUGAGGAUUUGAUUUGGUACACAGGUGGUAGUUUUGGAGCGUCUAGUAAGAAAGAAACAUCCUGUACUUGGAAAAUUUUUUUGAUUAAGCGAAUUUUAAAAUUUUCUACACACAAAACAAGAUUUGCAUUCAAUGAUUAAUUUUUUUAUAGAGCAGGCAGUUUUAUUGUCCAUGGACGUUAAAAUAUUCACAGCCCCAGGCGGCCCAUAAACUGUUUGAGUUACCAAAUCCCACAUAACAUACGAGAUUCAACUUCUGUCAGUUUAUUACCCGAUAUCGAAUAUCCGAUUAGUGUCAAAUUACCGAAAUUGCUUUAUUGUUCUAAAAUACGUCCACACGAAGAAUCCCCGGCUUGAUUUUUGCGCUACGCCACUGGGUUUUUUACAGUUAAGCAAUUAGCAAUUGAUAAUGUUAACACGGUUUCCAUGUAAUUUACAUUUCUGUUACAAAUUUAGCGUUGCGUAAUUACGUGUCGGAUAAAAAGCCAUGGGCGGGUGCUACUGGGUUUGAUAUUACCAUGUGUGGCUGGCGGUUGAGUUGAAAGGGGAUCGAUUCGUUAUCACAGGUUAUUAGCACUGUUAUUGUAGAAUAAAUCAUGGUAAUUUAUGUUUGCUGUGCUGAUGAAACGGUAGAGUUGAUGUUCGUGUGAAUUACCAAAGUAAACGAUAUUUAGCGAUUUGCCGGUGGUUUUUGUUAUGGUUAACUGAAUCGUCUGAAAAUUAUAUACGACUAUAUACAACAUUCCACGCUUAUUACAAUUAUUAAGAAAUGUUCCUGAAUGUAAAAUAAAAUGUAUCUUGUAUUUAUAUUGUGUAUAUAAAAGGUAUAUAAAUGUCUGAACUAAUGUUAUGUUUGAUGUAAUGUUAUGUAAAUGUUGUUAAUAAAUUUAAGUGUAUGUUUUCCGUAUGUAUUAUUGAAUUUUAGUUUGCGAUUUUGUGUGCGGAGUCACCUGUUAUGUUUUCAACGAUUUAAUUUACACUUACGUGCAAUAUUUUUUUAAUUUGUAUCGUUUCACGUAGCGUUUCACUGUAACAUUUUCAUGUUCGUAUAUUCACGAUUAACUGAAGAGAAAUUAGAAUUUAGCAAUAUAUUUAUAUAAAAAACACAAAUUCAUGUAAAAAUUUAGUCUUCGACUUUUGUACAUAAAAUAAUUUUCAUAGUUACAAAAAUUAUAUAUUGUAUGCUUUGCAUAUCCAGAAGCAACCAAUUUUAUAAAGUAAAGAAAUUAGUCCUAAGCGAAAUUUAGAUAAAGAAAUUGGUAGCCCUCUCCAAAUUUUCGUCAGACUUUUUUAUAUGAUUGUUAUAACUGAACUUAAGAAAGUGUUUACUAAAUUUUAAAGUUUAAUAAUCGAUUGCUCUGAUUGGGAGAAAUAUUGUUUCUAAAGUGGAAAUUGUGGAACAAUUCUUCGUUUGCCAUUCGACGGAUGUUUGAUUUCAAGCGAUUUCGUAACCUGUACUAACUUAGUUCUAGUUGCGUUAUUAAUUUUUUGUUGAUAUUUUUUCUGUACAUAUUUUACUUCGUUUCGACGUUGCAGUAUUACCUGUUUUCGUUUUAUCGAUGUUGAAAAUAAACUAUCUGUGAGACACAAUACAUCUUCUAGGGUGUAUACAAACAUAUCGUGAAAAAUUAUUUUAUAUAAUUGAUUUUACUUUUAAAAAGUAUUAAAAGUGUAGACAAUAACACGUUGUGACAUU